rnacentral:rRNA from 1 species
CAGUAGCCGCGGUAAUACGGAGGGUGCAAGCGUUAAUCGGAAUUACUGGGCGUAAAGCGCACGCAGGCGGUUUGUUAAGUCAGAUGUGAAAUCCCCGAGCUUAACUUGGGAACUGCAUUUGAAACUGGCAAGCUAGAGUCUUGUAGAGGGGGGUAGAAUUCCAGGUGUAGCGGUGAAAUGCGUAGAGAUCUGGAGGAAUACCGGUGGCGAAGGCGGCCCCCUGGACAAAGACUGACGCUCAGGUGCGACAGCGUGGGGAGCAAACAGGAUUAGAGACCCCUGUAGUCCCUGUCUCUUAUAC